GGGGGCGACCUGGCUUCGACGUGGGUCGCGAAACUUGAAGGUGCAUGCCGAGGGCGAAAUUCACCUCGUAAAACUCAGUUUCAAAGUUAUAGUUGCAAACGACGAUAACUACGCUUUAGCAGCUUAAUUGCUAACGGGCACUCGCGAUUUCUUGCGUUCGUGAACUGUCCGUCAUAACCAGCAAGAUCGCUCAACGUACCGUUUGGAUGCGUUGGGUUAAACUAAAUCCAAACUGGUGUUGAUGAAUCCCGACAGGCGGAGUCAUCAACAUAAGAUCAAAAGCCUAAUCUAAGCAUGUAGAGCCUCAAGCAGAGGACUUGCGGACGCGGGUUCGAUUCCCGCCGCCUCCACCA
rnacentral:tmRNA from 1 species